UACGUAGGGUGCGAGCGUUAAUCGGAAUUACUGGGCGUAAAGCGUGCGCAGGCGGUUUUGUAAGCCAGAUGUGAAAGCCCCGGGCUUAACCUGGGAAUGGCAUUUGGGACUGCAAGGCUGGAGUGUGGCAGAGGAGACUGGAAUUCCUGGUGUAGCAGUGAAAUGCGCAGAUAUCAGGAGGAACACCGGUGGCGAAGGCGGGUCUCUGGGCCGGUACUGACGCUAAGGAGCGAAAGCGUGGGGAGCGAACAGG
rnacentral:rRNA from 1 species